rnacentral:rRNA from 1 species
GUGAACGCUGGCGGUAGGCCUAACCCAUGCAAGUCGAACGGCAGCCCAGUAAGAGCUUGCUCUUACGGUUGGCGAGUGGCGGACGGGUGAGGAAUACAUCGGAAUCUACUUUUUCGUGGGGGAUAACGUAGGGAAACUUACGCUAAUCCCCCAUACGACCUACGGGUGAAAGCAGGGGCUUUUCGGACCUUGCGCGAUUGAUUGAGCCGAUGUCGGAUUAGCUAGUUGGCGGGGUAAAGGCCCACCAAGGCGACGAUCCGUAGCUGGUCUGAGAGGAUGAUCAGCCACACUGGAACUGAGACACGGUCCAGACUCCUACGGGAGGCAGCAGUGGGGAAUAUUGGACAAUGGGCGCAAGCCUGAUCCAGCCAUACCGCGUGGGUGAAGAAGGCCUUCGGGUUGUAAAGCCCUUUUGUUGGGAAAGAAAAGCAGCAGGUUAAUACCCCGCUGUUCUGACGGUACCCAAAGAAGAAGCACCGGCUAACUUCGUG